rnacentral:rRNA from 1 species
GACGUAGGGCGCGAGCGUUGUCCGGAUUUAUUGGGCGUAAAGAGCUCGUAGGCGGCUUGUCGCGUCGUUCGUGAAAACCUGCAGCUCAACUGCAGGCUUGCGGUCGAUACGGGCAGGCUAGAGUUCGGUAGGGGAGACUGGAAUUCCUGGUGUAGCGGUGAAAUGCGCAGAUAUCAGGAGGAACACCAAUAGCGAAGGCAGCUCGCUGGGACGGUACUGACGCUAAGGCGCGAAAGCGUGGGGAGCGAACAGG